GGCUCGGUGGUGUAGUUGGUUAUCACGUCAGUCUAACAGCCACUCGGAUUGUUCACUGAAGGUCCCGAGUUCAAACCUCGGCUGAGUCA